rnacentral:rRNA from 1 species
UGGGGAAUUUUGGACAAUGGGCGCAAGCCUGAUCCAGCAAUGCCGCGUGCAGGAUGAAGGCCUUCGGGUUGUAAACUGCUUUUGUACGGAACGAAACGGUCUUUUCUAAUACAGAAGGCUAAUGACGGUACCUGAAGAAUAAGCACCGGCUAACUACGUGCCAGCAGCCGCGGUAGUACGUAGGGUGCAAGCGUUAAUCGGAAUUACUGGGCGUAAAGCGUGCGCAGGCGGUUAUGCAAGACAGAGGUGAAAUCCCCGGGCUCAACCUGGGAACUGCCUUUGUGACUGCAUAGCUAGAGUACGGUAGAGGGGGAUGGAAUUCCGCGUGUAGCAGUGAAAUGCGUAGAUAUGUCAUAGAACACCGAUAGCGAAGGCAGCUCACUAGGUCUGGAUUGACGCUCAGGGACGAAAGCGUGGGGAGCAAACA